ACCUUUCUGUCUGUACCAAGGCCCACAGUCUUCUGCUUCUCUCCUGGGCCCCGGGCCUUGAUGCGUUUAGAUCCAGAAUGCUUCCGCUUCACCCUGCUGCCUGCCAGGCCAAGAUCACGGGGAAGAAUUGGGUCUCAUCAACAGAAGCCUCCUACGCAGAGAGAGCGCAAGCGUAAGAAGAACGGCCUAGCGGGCCCCAGAGGCCAAGGCUGCAGGGAGGCCCCCUUCAACCAAACCUUAUGGGACCAAACCGCAGUCAAUGGAAAGGUGAUCCAGAGAUGAAUAGUUCUGCAGAUUGCUCAAAGGAAGCCAAGGAGAUCUCAACUCUGGUCCUGGUAACCUGCUCCCUGCAGGCCGACCUCACUUUGACAGACCCUCCGAGAAUAUAUAUACAUUCCUUCAUGAAAGGGAUGUAGGUCCCACUGGAUGGAAUCUACCAGGCUCUACAUCCUCACAAGUCUAACAUGAAAAUGCUCUGUGGUGCAAUAUCUGAGAGCCUAGCCUUUAACGGCUGAACCGUGUCUCUGGCCCUUGGUGCAGCAUCUGUAACACAUGCUUGGGUGUCACUCCUUCCGGGGUCCUCUAGGCAUUAGCCGGGACCGUUCUCUGUUUACACGUUAAGCUGGCUUUCCUCCUGGCACCCAGGCACUGUGCAAACACAGAAGCUUUCUUUGGUAAAGGAACCAGGCUCACCGUUGUAGAGGAUCUGAGCAAGGUGAGCCCGCCCAGGGUCACCUUGUUUGAGCCAUCAGAAGCAGAGAUCGCCGACAAACAAAUGGCCACCCUCGUGUGCCUGGCCAGGGGCUUCUACCCUGACCACGUGGAAAUGAGCUGGUGGGUGAAUGGCAAGGAGGUCCUCAGCGGAGUCAGCACAGACCUUGAGCCCAAAAAGGAGAGCAACGGUGUCACCUACAGCCUGAGCAGCCGCCUGAGGGUCUCUGCCACCUUCUGGCACAAUCCCCGCAACCACUUCCGCUGCCAAGUCCAGUUCUAUGGGCUGACAGACGAAGACGAGUGGAGUGAGGCCUCACCCAAACCGGUCUCCCAGAACAUCAGUGCCGAGGCCUGGGGCAGCGCCGAUUGCGGUAUUACCUCAGCGUCCUACCAACAAGGGGUCCUGUCUGCCACCAUCCUCUAUGAGGUCCUGCUGGGGAAGGCCACCCUGUAUGCUGUGUUUGUCAGCGCCCUGGUGCUGGUGGCCGUGGUCAAAAGGAAGAAUUCCUGAGUCCAGACCCGGAGGCGGAGUCCAGAACUUCCAACCCAUUGCGGUGUUAAUACAGGUUCUCUUUUUCCAGCACUUCUGAAGAGCUGCUGUCAUUGGUCUGUGGGCCCCAAAGUCCCCUUACUAGCCGUGUGCUUCUGCAUGCACAUCUGAAAUCCCUGUGACCUGGAGUGUGCCUAGCACGCUUACAACAAUAAAUAUAUAACCAAUAAACAUGUUCUAGAAUGACUCUCA